rnacentral:misc_RNA from 1 species
AACUUUUAGCAAUGGAUCUCUUGGUUCCCGCAUCGAUGAAGAACGCAGCGAAAUGCGAUAAAUAAUGUGAAUUGCAGAAUUCAGUGAAUCAUCGAAUCUUUGAACGCACAUUGCGCCCUUUGGUAUUCCGAAGGGCAUGCCUGUUCGAGCGUCAUGAUCAAAUCUCAAGCCUUUGCUUGGUAUUGGGUUUUCGUCUAUCUCAGUCUUUUGUACAGAGGGAGUGACGUGCCUGAAAGUCAAUGACGGUGCCACAAUAGACUCAAGCGUAGCAGACUGACUCUCGCUUUGGAGAACUUUUGUGGUCCCGUCAACUAAAAUUAUAAUCAAGUUGGACCUCGGAUCAGGUAGGGAUACCCGCUGAACUUAAGCAUAUCAAUAAGCGGAGGCU